GUUAUUUGAGCUGCUUUAAACUAUAGACAUUCCUUUACACAUUAAAGUAUGCGGCUUUGAUUAAAAAUCUGUGGGUCAACGUUUGAUGAUGCCAAUAUUACCACUCUUACCAUGGAUUGCAGAAAAAUAUGGGAAAUCUUGCGUACACAACGUAUAACUCUUAUAACUAAAGUAUUACUGUAACUGCAUACAAUUUGGAUGCCUCUUAUGCUUGAUAUGUUACCACGUGUCAAACGGUCACAAUUGCUGAUAGUUUUUAUGUCAACAGUACGUUUGGUAACAUCAUCCUGUUUCGCGCAUGAAUAUAUUUCUCUUUGAUCCUGACAAUUCAAUCACAACAAGCUAUUCUUAAUCAUACUGUGCGUGAAAUAUGAGGAAUAGCUCAAUAUUAUGACAGGCAUACAAGUAUCCAAGAUUCCUUUUCAAUCGAAACUCAAAAAGUGCCCAUUCUUUUUCAAAGCGGAUAUUUCAAGCGUUUUAGCGAC